UCCCUGGUGGUCCAGUGGCUAAGGCUCUGCGCUCCCAAAGCAGGGGAUCUGAGUUUGAUCCCUGGUCAGGGAA
rfam:TPA: Bos taurus chromosome 12, whole genome shotgun sequence.